UACAGGGGAUGCAAGCGUUAUCCGGAAUUAUUGGGCGUAAAGGGUCCUGAGGUGGCUAUCCAAGUCUAUUGUGAAAUAUCAGGGCUUAACCCUGAACAUGCGGUGGAAACUAGAAAGCUUAAGUACAGUAGGGGCGGAGGGAAUUUCCGGUGGAGCGGUGAAAUGCAUAGAUAUCGGGAAGAACACCAACGGCGAAAGCACUCCGCUGGGCUGAUACUGUCACUGACAGACGAAAGCUAGGGUAGCGAAUGGG
rnacentral:rRNA from 1 species